rnacentral:pre_miRNA from 1 species
UUCUGUGUAUGGCACUGGUAGAAUUCACUGUCGCAGAGAACACUAUCAGUGAAUCACCAUAGGGCCAUAAACAGAG